ACGGAGGGUGCGAGCGUUAAUCGGAAUCACUGGGCGUAAAGCGCACGUAGGCGGCGUCGUAAGUCGGAUGUGAAAGCCCUCGGCUCAACCGGGGAACUGCAUUCGAGACUGCGUCGCUUGAGUGCCGGAGAGGUUGGUGGAAUUCCAGGUGUAGGAGUGAAAUCCGUAGAUAUCUGGAGGAACACCAGUGGCGAAGGCGGCCACCUGGCCGGGAAUUGACGCUGAGGUGCGAAAGCGUGGGGAUCAAACAG
rnacentral:rRNA from 1 species